UUAAUAAUUUAUAUAAAAUAUUUUGAAUAUUUAUAUAACAUUAACAUAAUUCAUAUUACUAUAUUUUUUAGUAUAUGAAAUUUUACUUUGAGAAAAUUAGAGUGCUUAAAGCAGGCAUAUGCCUUGAAUACUCCAGCAUGGAAUAAUAUUAAAGAUUUUUAUCUUUCUUAUUGGUUCUAAGAUAAGAAUAAUGAUUAAUAGGGACAGUUGGGGGCAUUUGUAUUUAACAGUCAGAGGUGAAAUUCUUAGAUUUGUUAAAGACAAACUAAUGCGAAAGCAUUUGCCAAGGAUGUUUUCAUUAAUCAAGAACGAAAGUUAGGGGAUCGAAGACGAUCAGAUACCGUCGUAGUCUUAACCAUAAACUAUGCCAACUAGAGAU
rnacentral:rRNA from 1 species